GCCUGGGUGGCUCAGUCAGUUGAGUAUCCGACUUCAGCUCGGGUCAUGAUCCCACGGUUCAGUUUGUGAGUUCGAGCCCCACAUCGGGCU
rnacentral:tRNA from 1 species